GCCUCUGUGGCGCAAUCGGCUAGCGUGUUUGGUUGUUAACCGAAACGUUGGUGGUUUAAGGCCACCCGUGGGUG